AUUCCAUGUUGACAUUAUCAUGAUGUUUCUUUCACAUCAACGAACCCUGGUUGGUAAUAGCCUGUAGGAUUCUGAAACAGGCAAAGGAAACCAAAAACUAGCCUUUAAUCCUCUAAAGGUUUCCCUAUAGCAAGAAUCAUGAUGUGUGUUCAGGGUCAUUUAAGGCUUCCAGUGCAUUGUAGAAUAGCUUAGGUCUCUUGCCACAGGACAGUAGCU